CCACCGCGCCCGGCCUAUAAUCUCAGUUUCAAUGGAUCAAGAAUCUGGGUAUGGCUCAGGGUCUCCUCCCAAGGCUGCAGUCAAGGUGUGAGCCAGAGCUGCAGUCACCUAAAGGUCGGCCUGGGGAUGAUCCACCUCCAAGCUCACUCACAGGGCUGUUGGCAGGAUUCCAUCCUCUUGGGCUGUUGGCCAGAGGCCAGCUCCAGUUCUUUGCCAUGAAUGUCUCUCCAUGGGGCAGCUGGCUUCUCUUACAGUAAGUGAGAGCAUGAGAGAGCAUCAGCAAGAGGGAAGUGGGGUGUUUCUGUGCCCCAGCCUCAGAAGUGACAUCCCAUCACUGUGGCCAUAUUUUAUUCACUAGAAGGGCAUCACCAGGUCUAACCCCUGCUCAAGGGAGAGGAUUUCCCAGAAACAGAAGAAAUCACAAAUUACACUUCACAAGAAUCCUGAGAUAUUUUAGAAAGGUUCCAAAUUUGGCCAAAAGUAGCUUAAGAAGGCUUUUAUGGACCAAGCAUAAGAAGUUUAGCAGGGCUGGGUGUAAUGGCUCACACUUGUAAUUCCAGAACUUUGGGAGGCUGAGGUGGGCAGAUUGUUUGAGCCCAGGAGUUCGAGACCAGCCCAGGCAACAUAGCAAAACCCCAUCUCUACAAAAAAUGCAAAAAUUAGCUGGGCAUGUGCUUGUGGUCCCAGCUACUCGGGAGGCUGAAGUGAGAGGAUUGCUUGAGCCUGGGAGGUCGAGGCUACAGUGAGCUGUUACUGCACCACUGCACUCCAGCCUGGGCGACAGAGUGAUACCCUCCCUCAGAAAAAAAAAAGGAAGAAGAAGAAGGAGAAGGAGAAGAAGAAAGAAGUGUAGCAGCAGAGAGAAAUUACUUCACUCAAACCAGCAUUGAGAGAGGCAGAGAAUUAGGAGCACUCACAGGCAGAGCUGAAAGGCUCCCAGAAGGGGCAAAAAUAAAAUGUAAAAUUAACCUUUGAAAUCCAAAGUUGGUAUCAGGUAUAGCCUAAUGUUCACUUUUUAAUUUUAGCAACACCGAACAUGGUAUUUCUACCUUAUUUUUAGUAUAAUUAUCCAUUCUUAACUUGUGUAAUGAAAGAAAAAAUAGGGGCGGGCAUGGCGGCUCACGCCUGUAAUCCCAGCACUUUGGGAGGCCGAGGCGGGUAGGUCACGAGGUCAGCACUUCGAGACCAGCCCAACCAACAUGGUGAAACCCCGUCUCUACUAAAAACACAAAAAAAUUAGCUGGGCGUGGUGGCGGGUGCCUGUAAUCCCAGUGACUUGGGAGGCUGAGGCAGAAUUGCUUGAAAACUGGAAGACAGAGGUUGCAGUGAGCCGAGAUUUCCCACUGCACUCCAGCCUGGGAAAUAAGAGCAAAACUCCGUCUCAAAAAAAAAAAAAAGAGAAAGAAAGAAAAAAUAACAAAAAUAACAUAGGUAAAUUAACAGUUAUAAUAUUAAACAGUCUCUUUUGGCUAAACCUGUUAUAAAUCACCACGGCAUAUAAAUGUUAGAGCUUAGAUGCUGAAUAAACCAACUGGCCUUGAAGCCCACAUUUCUAAUUCUCAUAACAGAUUUAUUAUGAAUCUCAAAUUUCACAAAUUUGUCUGUCUGUGUAAAAUUGUUUUGGAAGAUGUCAAUAAAUGUAGAGGAAUGUUUAAAAUCUGAAGUUGGAAAAAGGUAAAGCAAACAUUAGUUUUUAAUCUUUUGCUCACUUGAGUAAAUCCUUGAAAGGAUUAAAAAAUAUCCAACUUGUGAAAUUUGUUUAAAGUCCUUUUAAAAUAAAAAUGCAUAAAUGUAUAAUUACUCUAAACCUAACUGAAGACUUUAUAGAAUUCACCCAAUUUGAAAACAGGUCUUCUGGCCUGUUUCCCAAGUCAUUAUGCACAGCUGUGGGAAACAUCCUGUUGUAUGUUUACAUAUAUUAACAGCUUCAGGAAUUUCACAAUUAAAACUAUGGUGGGCUGGUUUCCAAUUCAGGCAGCUGGGUGAGGGGGUGUGGAGAGCAGGCAAACCAGAAAUAAAAACAAGCUUCUUGAAAGAUGGGGGAAAGGAAAUCGUAACUACUUAGUAAUCAGGAGUCCAUAUAGUUUGCCAGUUCUACUAAACGCUGGAGGGAUUUCAUUUAAACCCUAAGAAAUACACUUGUUCAAUCAUUUUGCAGCCUUCAAAAUCUCUCAGUUGGCUUCAACCAAGAGGUUGCCUGAUGGAGCAUGCCUGCCCCUCGUCCUGACAUAACUGAUUAGGAAAUGAUUUCUAAAUGGUCAAGAGUCCAGCCUCGAUAGCCACUUCUCUGAUUCCAACAGAAUUUCUACAGAAGACAAUUUCCUUGUCUCAGCAAGGAGGGAAUACAGAUGAAUUGGCAGGAUCAGGAGCAGCCAUGUUGCACCAAGAGAAGAUGAAAAAAGCAUAUGUUGCAGAUUGCAAAGUAACUAGGUAAGCAUUUGAGUCCCUAAAACUAUUCCUGGUAUGACUGGUAGCGGCAUACUAGCUUGGACUUUUUUGUGUCAGAGAAAUAAACCUUCAUCUCACUUAAAUCAGUAUUAUUUGGGGCCACUCUCUCUGUAGUAGGAGUGAAACUAGUAUCCUAACUAAUUUAACUGUCAAAAGAAAAAAAAAUAUGAGGCGAGAAAAUAAGGAAUCAAGAAACAAAAGUCAAGUUUUACUCACUUCAUAGCUUGGCUCAAAAGCAACUUUAAAUAUGUGAGAAAUGCAACAAAUGAUAAUCAUGCAUACAGAGAAAUUCCUCAAGUGACAAAUGCUUUUACUUUCAUUUCCUUUCUUGAAAAUUGACAGAGUAAGAUUCAGAUGCAUGUACUGACACUCACGUCAGUAACAUCGGCUCAGGUUAGACUUUGGUCGUCUUAUCCUUCGACUACCUAAGGGACUCAUGGCCAGUAUAUUUUACAACCCCCAGUGCCAGUUACUGAAUUCUCACCUGAGAAUGAAUUCCCUAAGUCUGUAAUGUUUCAUCAUCUUGCAACACAGAUAAGCCUGUGUUUAGAGCAGGCUUUUCCAUAUGAGUCCCUCCUCUUUCACACUGGGGCUGAGUAGAAGGUGAUUGACCUGCCUGAGACUUUAUCAGUUUGGAGUUCAUGUUCCAUGUGGUGUUGGAGGGAGCAAUGGAGGCUGUGAAAUCAGACAUCCUGCUUUUUGACAGGGUUGUUUGAUGACUCACCCAAGCCAUUUUUUAUUCUCGGUGCAUAUUCUAGUUUCCCUUCUCCCGACAGUAGCCUGAUGCACCUGUGCUUGCACUGUCCUUAAGCCUGUUGCUAUUGUUAUGUGGUGUCACUGAGCCCAACACUGCGUGCGUGUGUGUGUGUGUGUGUGUGUGUGUGUGUGUUGAAAGGGGUAGGAAAGUGAGGAUGAUUUUCAACCAUUAAACCCUUAAGGGGCCAUCUUCUGAAGCCUGGCAUCAUCAUUUUUGUUCUCAAGAACAUUUAAGUCAAAAAUAACAAGGUUCCUUUUGCUCAUCUUCAAAUUAUUUUACUUGUUUGAUCCAACUGCUAACUAGAAGGUGAAUUCUUUCUGCUGUCAUUUCAUAAUUCUAGUGUAUUAAAAAGAGAUGGGGGCUGGGCACGGUGGCUCAUGCCUGUAAUCCCAGCACUUUGGGAGGUCAAGGUGGGAGGAUCACUUGAGGCCAGGAGUUCAAGACCAGCCUGAGCAACAUAGCAAGGCCUCCUACAAAAAAUUUUAAAAAUUAGCUGGGCAUGGUGACACCCACCUGUAGUCCCAGCUGCUUGGGAGGCUGAGGCAGGAGGAUUGCUUGAGCCCAGGAGUUUAAGGUUGCAAUGAGCUUCAAGUUUUUAUACCUUCAAUCAUACCAUUUGUGGCUUAGGAACCCCUAAUAUAUUACAUGGAGGGUAAUGUAGACACCAAGAAAAUGAUUGAAAACAAUUUAUGCCUAAAUACAUUUGUAUUCUUCUUUAGAGAAACCUAGUAGACAAACUAAAAGCUACUAAGCAAAUAAAUCAAGGUACUGUAUUUUACAAAAUGACUCAAUUUAUGCAUCAUUUAAAGAGUGUGGAUCCCUUGGGAACUUUAAACAUGGUUGCAUUAGUUAAACAGUUGCUUCAUUCAGAUCCCUCUAGGAACUUGGGCAGCACAAGGGAAGGGGGGCCUCUGUUCCUACUGUGUGGUCCUGGUGAUCUGUGUAGGUAUCUUCUUUUACCGGGUUAAGUGAUAAAAACGGUGUCUUGUGCUCUUUUAUCCAAGUCCAA
rnacentral:lncRNA from 1 species